rnacentral:tRNA from 2 species
GGAGACGUGGCAGAGCGGCCGAAUGCACUCGCCUUGAAAGCGAGCAUGGGUAAAACCAUCGGGGGUUCAAAUCCCUCCGUCUCCGCCA